UACGUAGGGAGCAAGCGUUGUCCGGAAUCAUUGGGCGUAAAGCGCGCGUAGGUGGCCAUUUAAGUCCGCUGUGAAAGUCAAAGGCUCAACCUUUGAAAGCCGGUGGAUACUGGGUGGCUAGAGUACGGAAGAGGCGAGUGGAAUUCCUGGUGUAGCGGUGGAAUGCGCAGAUAUCAGGAGGAACACCAAUAGCGAAGGCAGCUCGCUGGGACGUUACUGACACUGAGGAGCGAAAGCAUGGGGAGCGAACAGG
rnacentral:rRNA from 1 species